rnacentral:rRNA from 1 species
UACGUAGGCAGCAAGCGUUGUUCGGAGUUACUGGGCGUAAAGGGUGUGUAGGCGGUUGCUUAAGUUUGGUGUGAAAUCUCCCGGCUCAACCUGGGAGGGUGCGCCGAAUACUGAGUGACUCGAGUGCGGGAGAGGAAAGUGGAAUUCCGUGGUGUAGCGGUGAAAUGCGUAGAGAUCGGGAGGAACACCUGUGGCGAAGGCGGCCCCCUGGGCCGGCCCUGACACUGAGACGCGAAAGCCAGGGAGCGAACGGG